rnacentral:tRNA from 1 species
ACUUAAAUAGCUUAAUUAGAGUUUAAUAUUGAAGAUAUUAAGGUGAUAAAUUUAUCUUUAAGUA